rnacentral:rRNA from 1 species
GCAGUGGAGUAUGUUGUUUAAUUCGAAGCAACGGGAGAACCUUACCAGUCUUGACAUCCNUCUGACGCUCCUGGAGACAGGGUUCCCUUCGGGGCAGGGGUGACAGGUGGUGCAUGGUUGUCGUCAGCUCGUGUCGUGAGAUGUUGGGUUAAGUCCCGCAACGAGCGCAACCCUUGUCAUUAGUUGNUACGCAAGAGCACUCUAGUGAGACUGCCGUUGACAAAACGGAGGAAGGUGGGGACGACGUCAAAUCAUCAUGCCCCUUAUGACCUGGGCUACACACGUACUACAAUGGCCGUGAACAAAGAGAAGCAAGACCGCGAGGUGGAGCAAAACUCAAAAAACGGUCCCAGUUCGGAUUGCAGGCUGAAACCCGCCUGCAUGAAGUUGGAAUUGCUAGUAAUCGCGGAUCAGCAUGCCGCGGUGAAUACGUUCCCGGGCCUUGUACACUCCGCCCGU